rnacentral:rRNA from 1 species
UACGGGGGGGGCAAGCGUUGUCCGGAUUUAUUGGGUUUAAAGGGUGCGUAGGCGGCCCGGUAAGUCAGUGGUGAAAGCCUCCAGCUCAACUGGAGAACUGCCAUUGAUACUGCCGGGCUUGAGUACAGACGAGGUUGGCGGAAUUGAUUGUGUAGCGGUGAAAUGCAUAGAUACAAUCAAGAACUCCGAUUGCGUAGGCAGCUAACUAGGCUGUAACUGACGCUGAGGCACGAAAGCGUGGGGAGCGAACAGG